AGUCUGACCUGCCCGAUGAUGAUUUGAAUGGCUGCAGUAUACUGACUGUACAAAGGUAGCGUAAUAAUUUGUCUUAUAAUUGGAGAAUAGAAUGAAUGGUUUAAUAAAGGUGUGGCUGUCUCUUAAUAUAUUUGUUUGAAGUUAAUUUUCAGGUUAAAAAGCUUGGAUGAGAUUAAAGGACGAGAAGACCCUAUUGAGCUUAAAUUGGCAGCGAUGUUAAUAGGGUAUGAGUUUAAGAUUUAUUAAUAAAUUGUAUAGUUUUAGUUGGGGCGACUAAGGAGUAGAUGAAGCUUCCUUUAAGUGGUUUAAAAAGUUGUUUAUUGAUCCAGUUGUUUUGAAUUAAAAUCAAGUUACCAUAGGGAUAACAGCGUUAUCUUUUUUGAGAGUUCUUAUCGAUAGAAGGGAUUGCGACCUCGAUGUUGGAUUAGGGUUUAAUAAAGGUUGUAGAAGCUUUUAUGGUUAGUCUGUUCGA
rnacentral:rRNA from 1 species